rnacentral:lncRNA from 1 species
GACAGCUCUGCACACUAUGGGUUGAUGGAGAGGGUGGUUCAGGGAUUGUUUGAUGGAUGCUGGGCAUUAAAGAGGGCACUUGUUGUGAUCAGCUUUGAGUGUUGUAUGCUAGUGAUGAAUCACUGAAUUCUACUCCAGAAACAAAUACUGCACUGAAAGAAGUCCCCCUUUUCCUUCCAAGAAACCCUUGGAGCCAAGGAUGACAAUUACUGAUGUUGUCUCAGGGAUGGACUGCCUGAACCACAAGAUGCAGGAGAACCCCACAUCUUGGAGAAGGCAACUUAAGUACCAGAAAACAACAUUCAACAGUUUUGGGGUAAGUGUCAGUUGACUUUUAAGGAUCUAUCUAGUGUUUGUAACUUAGUAGCUU